AAGGNGCUUAGCGUGUUGAAAGCAUGUGUA
rnacentral:piRNA from 1 species